rnacentral:rRNA from 1 species
AUUGAACGCUGGCGGCAGGCCUAACACAUGCAAGUCGAACGAGUGGCGGACGGGUGAGUAAUGUCUGGGAAACUGCCUGAUGGAGGGGGAUAACUACUGGAAACGGUAGCUAAUACCGCAUACCAUCGGAUGUGCCCCGAUGGGAUUAGCGAGUAGGUGGGUUAAAGGCCCACCUAGGAGACGAUCCCUAGCUGGUCUGAGAGGAUGACCAGCCACACUGGAACUGAGACACGGUCCAGAAUCAUACGAGAGGCAGCAGUGGGGAAUAUUGGACAAUGGGCGCAAGCCUGAUGCAGCCAUGCCGCGUGUAUGAAGAAGGCCUUCGGGUUGUAAAGUACUUUCAGCGGGGAGGCGUUACCCGCAGAAGAAGCACCGGCUAACUCCGUGCCAGCAGCCGCGGUAAUAC